ensembl:lncRNA
GAUAAAACGAAGGCAGGGACUUGUCAGAUUUUAUAGAUGAUGCUAAUGAUUCUGCUAUUUGUUUUAGGUGUAAUGAGAUUCAUUGAAGAAUUCGAAGAGCAGAAUGAGCAACAGAUUUUCCUUAGUGAAAGCUUCUCUAGCUGCUACAUGAAGCAUUGGAUAGACAAAGGCCGCUUCGGGAAGGCCCUGUCAGUAGAGAUCACCCAGGCGCAGAGCUGGUUCUAGGAAGGCUUCUCCCAGAAAGCUUCUGUGCUUGAAACUGAAAAGGUAAGAAAGCAAAAUUGGAUCCACAUGGGACAGCCAAGAACCAAAAUGGAGAGGAAUGUUAAAACAUGUUGUCAAAAUAACAAGGGCUUUAAAAAGGCAUUAGAAGCUGUAGAGACUGAGGAAAUUAAAGUGAACACACACAAAUGAGAGACCCAGGAAGCUGCUCGCAGGUGAGUGGAUCCUGUCACCAGUGGUCCAACUCUUUUUAUGUUCAGUGACAUUUUGAAUCAUAAUUUCAAAUCCAAUGAUCAUGGGGACAUGGGGUUAUUUUUGUAAAUGAUAAAAAUGAUGGAAUUAGUGAAGUAGAUGUCAUAUUGGAAUAUUUUAAUAUUUUGAAUCAUAUUUAGUUUUCAAUAGCACAUCUUGCAAUAGGUAUGCCAAGGAAUCUUCCGCUGAAUUCAGAGUGGAAACUCAUUUUUGUUGGUUUAUAAUAGGUCUGCCUCACCCCAUGUGAGAUAAAAAUUAUUGAUUUUUGAGUCAUCUAUAUAAUUUUUAGACAUUAUAUUAGAUAAAAAUAUUUGCUGUGAGUUUGCAUAUGUCACAAACUAUUGAUAAUAUUUUUUACUUAUUGUAGGAAUAUAGUAGAAAAAGAUAGUUAUAUUGUUGGGAAUUUUAACAGUGGCUUUAUAUACAGCCAUUUAAAAAAUAUUAAAUUCAGUAAACCACUAAAUAUUUUGCAAUUUGUCUGUUAACUAGAAUUUUUAAAUCACACUUUGUUUCCAAAAAUGUUUAGCUGUUUGUUGUUGCUAAAGAGCCUUUCAAAUAAUACAUUGAGAGAGAAGUAAAGUGUUUUGCUGAACUUGUACUGUGGAAAUCUAAACUUACUUGAAAGUUUAGAUUUCGAUCUUUAUUUUUUGCCUUUCACUUGUCUUGUUGGUUGAGUGCUCUUCAGUUAGCUCCUUUUAGGUUUCUUUACUGGCUAUUGCUGUUUUUAAUGCUGAAAAAUACCAGAAAGACAGUUUUCCUUCCAAUAUGGUAGAAGUCAAUGAGGUACUUUACUUAGAAUAGCUUGGGAUUGUGUGUAUGUGUAUGCAUGUGUAUUUGUGUUGGAGGUGGGGUGGGUUGCUAUGGAGAGUGGAUGAUUCAGUCCAGAUGUGUGAACCUUAAUUCUGCCCUGAGUCAGGAGGCAGGGGUAUAAAGCUUGGCCUAAUGCAGAAGAAUAUCUGACAUUUGGGGAGGGGAAUUAUCUCUUACUUGAACAAUUACAUUAAAUAGUAAUGUAUACAAUUUUUUAAAUAUAUACUAAUAUAAAAUUUACCAAUUUUGUAUUUAGUAAACGAGUACAAGGUAUUAUAUUCAUAAUGAAAACUAAAAGAAAGAUUUCAUAGAGAUGUUUGAAAAUUACUGAAUAGUCGGUUAAGAACACUUUAUGUUAAUAGAUUAAAAAGUUGAAUAUAUACUGAUUUCUAGUGACUUUACCUCCACAUUACUGUGAAGAUGUUUCUUUGUCACUUGCCAUGGCAUGGGUG